GCCGUGGUGGUGGAACUGGUAGACACGCAGCGUUCAGGGCGCUGUGGGCUUCACGCUCGUGGGAGUUCGACUCUCCCCCACGGCACCA
rnacentral:tRNA from 1 species